rfam:Pluralibacter gergoviae strain JS81F13 contig_2, whole genome shotgun sequence.
ACGCUGAAAAACAUAACCCAUAAAUGCUAGUAGUAACAGAAACCACCUCCUUGGCUCGCGCGAUCUCCCUCGUGCGAGCCAUUUU